rnacentral:rRNA from 1 species
UACGGGGGGGUGCGAGCGUUGUCCGGAAUCACUGGGCGUAAAGGGCGCGUAGGUGGUUUGAUAAGGGUGUGGUGAAAGUCCGGAGCUCAACUCCGGAUCUGCCGUGCGACUGUCAAACUCGAGGGCUGUAGAGGCAGACGGAAUUCCGGGUGUAGCGGUGGAAUGCGUAGAGAUCCGGAAGAACACCGGUGGCGAAGGCGGCCUGCUGGGCAGUUGCUGACACUGAGGCGCGACAGCGUGGGGAGCAAACAGG